ensembl:lncRNA
AACCAAUAUAUGUCAGAUGUUACAUGCACUUGUGUGACCUGAGCCACUCCCCUUAGUUCUUAGAAGUUCUUGCUUUCAAAGAAUGGGAGUGUCGAGAAACAGAAAGGAGACAAGAGGAGCAGAACAAAUUAGGGCAAAGGACCCCAGCAGGAAGAGGAGUUGCUGAAGGUGGGGAACAGCAUCCACAUUUCACACUUCCUUCUCUGACUUCAAUCAGUGUAAGCAAUUGGCCCCCAGACAUGUGUGGACGGAGGAAGGUAGAACCAGCCAUCUGGGGACCCUGUCCUCCCACAUCCCCUGACUGGCACAGGGGAGUCCAUUCUGCUCUGAGAAAGCAGUGUGCAUCCAGACAUCCAGAACUGCCCUGGAGGAGCUGUGUUUUAUUCAAAAGCCUGUAACUUUAGCAAUCUCCCCUUCAAAGGAAUGUUCUGUAAUUGAAGGCAUGCUCCAUACCCACUCUAUUGUGUUUCAUGCACUCUGCCAAAAUAAUUACUUUUCACACCAACUCUUGGAUAUAGAUAAACCUUGGGUAGUCCAAGGAGGAUAGAGCCAAGGAAAGUUAUCACCUCUUGCUCCAUGAGACUUUUCCAUCAGCUUCCAGCCUCUCAGUCACAUACCCAGAAGCAAGCCAAAAAAUCCACCCACCCCAAAACAUACCCCAAAGCCCAGGCUCCUUGUUCCUGCUCGGUACUCAAGCCAUAGGGUAUCUGACCUAUCUUACACCACUAGUUAUCUGGCUGUCACAGCUCCACAGAACAUCACAGUAGGAGCAGCAAGGUGGGCAGGACUGGGUGGCAGGUGGGAGGAAGAAUAGGAGGGGUGGCUGCAGAAACAGAGCAGGGAUGGCAGCUGGCAGGGAGCCUGCCUCAGGCCUGCCAUUGCCACUCCUCACUGAGGGCCUAGCAUGCCCAAAGGGUUCCCCCACCCACCUGCCCCCUAUUCCAUACCACCUUAGUCCUCCCUUGAGCCUUGACUCCCUUUCCAAGCUGGCUUCCCACUCCCAUUUCCUUCGGGUGGCCUCAAGCUGCACUGAGGUUCAGACUGCCUCCCAGCUUAGAGGAAGAGUCCUUUCCUGUCAGAAUCCAGGUCUGUGCUGGUGAUGGCUUUUGGCUGAGGUGAUCGCAGUGGAGCUCUGAGCGCCACUGUGAAAUUGUACUCCAGCCAGCUGCAAUAGACUCCCUGCCUCUGGGAAUCUAAGAAAGGAGAAGCCCAGGACUUUCCCAGAGGAUGGGGGCCAGCUCUUGAGAUUCCUCUUAGCACCAGGACCUGAUUUUAACAUGGCCACACCAAGAUACAGGUUCUCUGCAGGUGCCUUGAAGGCAAGGGCUUCUGCCCCUCUUGUGUCAGCCCUGUUCCCAGGUGGACUUUCCUCUCC